UUUUUUUUUUUUUUUUUUUUUUUGUUUGACCAAAGUCAGUGCUGCACAUGACGCAGUGGGUUUUAGGUGUCUCUCUUUGUGUUUUCUGUGGUUUGUGAUGCACGUGCGCAGGAAGGGCUCCUCUUAGAGAAGCAGCCAAACUGUGAAGCACUAAGCUGACCCUGCUUCAAGCAAUUUUGUUUUUACAACUGUUCCUUUCACAAGCAAGCCUUAAAAAAAGAGAAAAAGAAAAAAAAAAGACAACUUCCUUUCUCUUCAGACCCCCACACCCACUUUUCUUAGCAGACGGCAGUCAAUCCACAUUCAAUAAAAAGUACAUAAUGCCCAUUUUUAUAUGCACGUUUUUAAACUUCCAAGUUCUGAAAAUUGUUUACUGGUUAUCUCUAUUUAAGGAAAAAAAAUAAAAUAAAACAUUUUGGAUUUUCAUAUGUGUCUGAUAAGUGGUUGUAUAGUCGUUUGGCGCUGUUGUAUGGUGUGAUUGUCAGUGUAUGGUGUCACUUCCUAUAGCCAGCAGCAGACUUUGCCUUCCCUAUAGCACUUAGCUGAGCAUUACUUUAUGAUGACAUAUGUGCACUAAAAAAAAAAAAAAAAAAAAAAAAAAAAAAAAAAAAAAGGAGAAAGAAAAAAAAAGAAAGAAAAAAUAGCAGCUUUCAGUGCUUCACAGUGAAGGGAAAAAAGCCUAGACAAACAUUUUGUCAGAACCUUGCGAAAUGCCAAGGUAUUACCAGUAAAUUGGUUGUAUAUACAAUAAAAUUGCACCCUUUUUUUAAACAAAACAAACUAAGCAAUAGUUUGGGCAGUUCUAGUUGUUUUUAGUGAGCAUGUUGUAGUCUCGACUGCAAAGAGAGAGAAUAAACUGCCCACUCAGAAGAUAUGUAAUUUGUAUCGUUGUAUAGUUUUAUUGAUUACACUGAUUUAUUCUACCCUAUUUUAUAAUGCAGGACUUUUGUAAUGUUGUCUAAAUGAGGAAACAUUUCUGUCAAAUUAGCCUAGUGAAAUCUCUGAUUGUUCAUUACAAAGGCAGCGUUCACAGCAUUGCUUCUUCUUCUUCCUUCUCCACCUCCUUGUGGGAACGGGAUUAAGUUUAAAACUUUCCCGUUUCUUUUUUGUUCGGUUGGUUUGGGUUUUUUUUUUUCUUUUUCUACUUUUAAAGUAUUUAAAUGCAAUUAUUUUUCUGCCAAUGGUAUAGCCUAUGCCUAUGCUUGAGAAGUGUAGGUCUACUGAAGAACCAUUACAAAUGGACGUCAGAGGUGUGCUGUACUUUUGAAGGUAUUUUAUUGUAUUAGGUUUAAUGAAGCUAAAAGUAGGGAACUCUCAACAGAUUUGC
rnacentral:lncRNA from 1 species